rnacentral:rRNA from 1 species
UACGUAGGGAGCAAGCGUUGUUCGGAUUUACUGGGCGUAAAGGGCGCGUAGGCGGCAACUCAAGUCAUCUGCGAAAUCUCCGGGCUUAACUCGGAACGGUCAGAUGAUACUGUUUUGCUAGAGUGCAGAAGGGGCAAUCGGAAUUCUUGGUGUAGCGGUGAAAUGCGUAGAUAUCAAGAGGAACACCUGAGGUGAAGACGGGUUGCUGGGCUGACACUGACGCUGAGGCGCGAAAGCCAGGGGAGCAAACGGG